UAACCGGGGAUACCUUAGUACGGCGAGUGAAGCGGUAAAAGCUCAAAUUUGAAAUCUGGUACUUUCAGUGCCCGAGUUGUAAUUUGUAGAAUUUGUCUUUGAUUAGGUCCUUGUCUAUGUUCCUUGGAACAGGACGUCAUAGAGGGUGAGAAUCCCGUUUGGCGAGGAUACCUUUUCUCUGUAAGACUUUUUCGAAGAGUCGAGUUGUUUGGGAAUGCAGCUCAAAGUGGGUGGUAAAUUCCAUCUAAAGCUAAAUAUUGGCGAGAGACCGAUAGCGAACAAGUACAGUGAUGGAAAGAUGAAAAGAACUUUGAAAAGAGAGUGAAAAAGUACGUGAAAUUGUUGAAAGGGAAGGGCAUUUGAUCAGACAUGGUGUUUUUUGCAUGCACUCGCCUCUCGUGGGCUUGGGCCUCUCAAAAAUUUCACUGGGCCAACAUCAAUUCUGGCAGCAGGAUAAAUCAUUAAGAAUGUAGCUACUUCGGUAGUGUUAUAGCUUUUUGGAAUACUGUUAGCCGGGAUUGAGGACUGCGCUUCGGCAAGGAUGUUGGCAUAAUGGUUAAAUGCCGCCCGUCUUGAAACACGGACC
rnacentral:rRNA from 1 species